rnacentral:rRNA from 1 species
CCUACGGGAGGCAGCAGUGAGGAAUAUUGGUCAAUGGACGAGAGUCUGACCCAGCCAAGUAGCGUGAAGGAUGACUGCCCUAUGGGUUGUAAACUUCUUUUAUAUGGGAAUAAAAUGUUCCACGUGUGGGAUUUUGUAUGUACCAUAUGAAUAAGGAUCGGCUAACUCCGUGCCAGCAGCCGCGGUAAUACGGAGGAUACGAGCGUUAUCCGGAUUUAUGGGGUUUAGAGGGAGCGUAGGUGGAUUGUUAAGUCCGAUGGGAAAGUUUGCGGCUCAACCGUAAAAUUGCAGUUGAAACUGGCAGUCUUGAGUACAGUAGAGGUGAGCGGAAUUCGUGGUGUAGCGGUGAAAUGCUUAGAUAUCACGAAGAACUCCGAUUGCGAAGGCAGUUCACUGGACUGCAACUGACACUGAGGCUCGAAAGUGUGGGUAUCAAACAGGAUUAGAUACCCCAGUAGUC